AUACGUAGGUGGCAAGCGUUAUCCGGAAUUACUGGGUGUAAAGGGCGAGUAGGCGGGACUGCAAGUCAGUAGUGAAAUGUCGGGGCUCAACUCCGAAGCUGCAUCUGAAACUGUAGUUCUUGAGUGCUGGAGAGGAAAGCGGAAUUCCUAGUGUAGCGGUGAAAUGCGUAGAUAUUAGGAGGAACACCAGUGGCGAAGGCGGCUUUCUGGACAGUAACUGACGCUGAGGCGCGAAAGCGUGGGGAGC
rnacentral:rRNA from 1 species